ACAGCAGCCGCCGCGGGAAUACAGAGGGUGCGAGCGUUAAUCGGAAUUACUGGGCGUAAAGCGCACGCAGGCGGUCUGUCAAGUCAGAUGUGAAAUCCCCGGGCUUAACCUGGGAACUGCAUUUGAAACUGGCAGGCUAGAGUCUUGUAGAGGGGGGUAGAAUUCCAGGUGUAGCGGUGAAAUGCGUAGAGAUCUGGAGGAAUACCGGUGGCGAAGGCGGCCCCCUGGACAAAGACUGACGCUCAGGUGCGAAAGCGUGGGGAGCAAACAGGAUUAGAUACCCCUGUAGUCCCUGUCUCUUAUAC
rnacentral:rRNA from 1 species